rnacentral:rRNA from 1 species
GACGAACCGUGCGAACGUUAUUCGGAAUCACUGGGCUUAAAGCGCGUGUAGGCGGGACGGCACGUCGGUCGCUGAAAUCCCCCGGCUCAACCGGGGAACGGGCGCCGAUACGACCGCCCUGGAGGGGCGUAGGGGGACCUGGAACUUCCGGUGGAGCGGUGAAAUGCGUUGAGAUCGGAAGGAACGCCCGUGGCGAAAGCGAGGUCCUGGACGCUUACUGACGCUGAGACGCGAAAGCCAGGGGAGCGAACAGG